AAUGUAUUAUAAUUUACUAUAUUAAUCUGACUGUCAGUGUAAUAGAUGUGUUUUCAUUAUCUUUAAGUCCAACCAUAAGAAACUUAAAAACGGGUCAGAAUUGCGUUUUUGAAAGUCGUCAAAACACGGAACAGGUGAACAGGAGCUUCAGGCCUACUUGAUCUUGAAAAAGGUACAGGUAGAGGCUUGCAAUGAGUCAGCUUGGGGAGAUAGAGAAGGGGCUUCUUCCUCCUGAAACCUCUCUGGUUUGGAUCCUGACAGCCAAUGGACGCCCACAGGAGAGAGGCCUGAAGAAAGCAUCCCCUGACCCCUUCUUUGCAGGGCAAGUUACCUGUCGGCAGAAGACACAGUCCAACCCUAUCCGCUGUGAUUUCUGAGAAGCACCCUCUGACAUGAAAGAGAUGGAGGUGCUCUUGCUGCUUCGCUGCAUAAUGUCUUCUGCUGUUUCAAGUCGGAGGUUCAGCGUAUAUGGGUCAAAGUUUCUGUGGACCAAAUAAUGAACCCUUAAUAGCUCCCGAUGUGUGAUUGUUUACCUCAGGGGUGUCCAAACUUUUUUCACCGAAAGAUAUUCGAAGGGCUAGGCCCCUCUGUAGGGGUGGGAUAUAUUGCCUCAUAAGUUAAGUUAUAAACCUCAGAUUGCUUAUUAUAAGGGGAAAUAGGAAGGGUAUAUUUCCAGCUUGUUAUGCAAAUAAGUAUUGGGCUUUUUUUUUAAUCAACUAAGGUAUUUUAGAGAAUGUUUUCAACUUUAAUUGACGCAAUUUAUCUAAAAAGUGGGUAUACUAACACAUGAAUACUACUGUGUUUUAUUUGUUUACACAUAUAUUUAAGAAGUACAAUAUAAGAAGAGUGCAAGUUUCAGGUGUGGGCCAUGAUCCAAUAUACUUUUUGUAUUUGCUGAGGGCUAAUUCAAAAUGGACCGCAGUUGGCCCCCGGGCCGUAGUUUGGACACCCCUGGUUUACCUCCUUCUUUACAACCAGUACAAGAAUGAUUGUGGGUAAUUGCUGACUUAUGUUUCUUAAAAGUGCCUUAUGGGUUGCAAAGCUAUAUUAAUGGGAUGAAUUUGUUUAACCUACAUUGUAUUCCUGCCUCGACUCGACUAAGGAAAUAUGCCAUAAUACUAACAUAUCUUUUUUUGUAAUCUGAAAAGAUUAAAGGAAAUGUAACUUUAAACUUU